AACAGAUUAGUUUUGAGGGAUUGCCUAAUGAGUUCAUCACAGAUUAAGUCGUGUUUGAUUGUAGGUGAUUCAUGAUAGUGUAUUUGCUCGACAGCUCUAUUAUUUGUCAUCUUCAAUAAGUUACUAUGUUUCCUCGUCGAUGGAAAGCCCCCGCCAUCCCGGCUAUGACAAUGAAAGGACCGUCGCAGGUCCUUUGUCAUGAUGUUUUUCUUGCAAGAUUCACAUGUAGCCGCCUUGGUAGUAGAUAGGUGCUAGGCCUAUUUAUGUAGUCCCAUUGUACAAAUAGGCAUCGGCGGCAGUUCGGAAUGAGCACAAGUACCACUUUCGCACUUGGUCUGGCCUGUAUUCUACUCAUCAUGGCAUUAUGCCUCGCCCUCUAUCUGGUACCAGAUCGCGGUUUUACGCAGGACGUGCCAAAUAAAAGGGAGGAAACCCAAAAGCUUACUGAGAAUGCGUCGGAUAUGGGACGAAGAGAACAGGUGUAAUGAACGAAAGAAGACCUUAAGAUUUGUUACCGAGCCAUAUGCAUGAAUGAA
rnacentral:sRNA from 1 species